rnacentral:tRNA from 2 species
UUGUGUGUGAACUUUAAAUGCCACGCCAUCUUGAGGGGGUGGUGAGCUAACGCUCGUGCGGGUUCAAGUCCCGCCAACCGCACCA